rnacentral:piRNA from 1 species
UACAAAACACAUUGCAGUCAGGACACGGAU